GGCAGCACAGGUAGCAAUACCGGGUGGCGACCGGCGCACGGGUGAGUAACGCGUAUGCAACUUGCCUAUCAGAGGGGGAUAACCCGGCGAAAGUCGGACUAAUACCGCAUGAAGCAGGGGCCCCGCAUGGGGAUAUUUGCUAAAGAUUCAUCGCUGAUAGAUAGGCAUGCGUUCCAUUAGGCAGUUGGCGGGGUAACGGCCCACCAAACCGACGAUGGAUAGGGGUUCUGAGAGGAAGGUCCCCCACAUUGGUACUGAGACACGGACCAAACUCCUACGGGAGGCAGCAGUGAGGAAUAUUGGUCAAUGGGCGUAAGCCUGAACCAGCCAAGUCGCGUGAGGGAUGAAGGUUCUAUGGAUCGUAAACCUCUUUUAUAAGGGAAUAAAGUGCGGGACGUGUCCCGUUUUGUAUGUACCUUAUGAAUAAGGAUCGGCUAACUCCGUGCCAGCAGCCGCGGUAAUACGGAGGAUCCGAGCGUUAUCCGGACUUAUUGGGUUUAAAGGGUGCGUAGGCGGCCUUUUAAGUCAGCGGUGAAAGUCUGUGGCUCAACCAUAGAAUUGCCGUUGAAACUGGGGGGCUUGAGUAUGUUUGAGGCAGGCGGAAUGCGUGGUGUAGCGGUGAAAUGCUUAGAUAUCACGCAGAACCCCGAUUGCGAAGGCAGCCUGCCAAGCCAUGACUGACGCUGAUGCACGAAAGCGUGGGGAUCAAACAGGAUUAGAUACCCUGGUAGUCCACGCAGUAAACGAUGAUCACUAGCUGUUUGCGAUACACAGUAAGCGGCACAGCGAAAGCGUUAAGUG
rnacentral:rRNA from 1 species